rnacentral:rRNA from 1 species
UACGUAGGCAGCGAGCGUUGUUCGGAGUUACUGGGCGUAAAGAGUGCGUAGGCGGUUUUCUAAGUUUGGUGUGAAAUCUCCCGGCUCAACUGGGAGGGUGCGCCGAAGACUGGAAGGCUUGAGUAUGGGAGAGGUAAGGCGGAAUUCCUGGUGUAGCGGUGAAAUGCGUAGAUAUCAGGAGGAACACCUGCGGUGUAGACGGCUUACUGGACCAUAACUGACGCUGAGGCACGAAAGCGUGGGUAGCAAACAGG